GGGAAAAGAAACUUCGAGAGCUCGUGUUCUCGAUCCCACCUCGGUCUCGCCGACGAUGGCGUCCGCUGUCAAAUCCCUCGUGCAAUCGCUCAAGAGGUACUUUAAGAAGCCAUGGGAGAUCACCGGGCCCUGCUCCGAUCCCGAGUACCGGAGCGCCCUCCCCAUGGCCACCGAGUACCGCCGUUUCUGCCCCGCCACCGCGCCCGCCAAGGCCUGCAUCCCUACCUGCGAGCCCGAGACCGUGUUCGAUAUCAAGUACUACACGCGUGAUCGCCGCCGUAACCGCCCCCCCGUCCGCCGGACCGUCAUCAGGAAGGCCGACGUUGAGCGGAUCAUGACCGCCAAGACCUUCGGUCCCGACGAUUUCCCCAAGGUCUACCUCACAGAAAGGGUGGAGGAGGACUACGACGCUCGCGGCGGCGGGUACCAGAAAUAAAGCUGGUAGACUUCAGGACUGUUCUUUCGUCAUCUGAAUGAUCAAGUUCCAGACAUGGAACCAAAUUCUAUUUAUUUAUACAAUGCAGAACUAUUGAAGUUAAGAGUUGUCGUUUGGAUAAAAUUCCGUGUAUGCAAUACUUUGUUGAUUGAAUACAUGGAAUUCAACAAACAGCUCCCUCUGAGUGUCAAUAGGAACUCGCGAAUACAAGUCAGACGAAUCAUAUGCGCGCAUAAACGAUGACUCUUAUGGAUGGCAGAAAGCAUCAUAUGGUGAUGGGGAAACUUGUUUCGCUUCAAUUGUCACUUGUCCUUUACAUAUACUUUUUCUUCGAUUUGCCAGCAUAGGAAGAUAAUUCUUUCUUUCAGUAUCCUUCUUCGCAUUUACAGGGACAGAAACAAUGAUAAGAUAUGCUUGCGAAGGAAAUCGAUGAGAUUGGAACGACACAAAAAAAAAAAAAACAGAGGAGGACCUCUCACAAGGAUCACAGGAUCGUGCAUGUGAUAUGAGGUAAUGGAACAUCGGUGACAACAUAUACCAUCUAUAUAUAUAGUCGUCCAUGUUUGUGGAGAGCAAAUAGAUAUUUGAGUAAUCUUUGGUUCCUUUGUUCUUCUUUGAUUGUACCAUAUAUAUAGUUCAGGAAGUUUGUACUCUUGAUGCUAAUUUUGUGUUUUCUUU